UAGGGAAUAUUGCUUAAUGGGCGAAAGCCUGAAGCAGCAACGCCGCGUGUGCGAUGAAGGCCUUCGGGUUGUAAAGCACUUUUUACCGGGACGAGGAAGGACGGUACCGGUAGAAUAAGCCUCGGCUAACUACGUGCCAGCAGCCGCGGUAAAACGUAGGAGGCGAGCGUUAUCCGGAUUUACUGGGUGUAAAGCGCGUGCAGGCGGUGGAGUAAGUUGGGUGUGAAAGCUCCUGGCUCAACUGGGAGAGGUCGCUCAAGACUGCUCGACUGGAGAAUGGUAGGGGAAGGUGGAAUUCCGGGUGUAGUGGUGAAAUGCGUAGAUAUCCGGAGGAACACCAGUGGCGAAGGCGGCCUUCUAGACCAUAUCUGACGCUCAGACGCGAAAGCUAGGGUAGCAAACG
rnacentral:rRNA from 1 species